GUCGACCUGCAGGCGGCCGCGAAUUCACUAGUGAUUUACGGUUACCUUGUUACGACUUCACCCCAGUCGCUGACUAUACCGUGGUCAAGGGUUUAAAACCUUGCCUUAAGGUAGAACCAACUCCCAUGGUGUGACGGGCGGUGUGUACAAGACCCGGGAACGCAUUCACCGUGGCACGCUGAUCCACGAUUACUAGUAAUUCCAGCUUCAUGCACUCGAGUUGCAGAGUGCAAUCCGAACUGAGGCAUCUUUUCGGGAUUUGCUUAACGUUGCCGUUUUGCUUCCUGUUGUAGAUGCCAUUGUAGCACGUGUGUAGCCCAACACGUAAGGGCCAUGAGGACUUGACGUCAUCCCCACCUUCCUCCAGCUUAUCACUGGCAGUUCUUUCAGAGUGCCCAACUUAAUGAUGGCAACUAAAAGUGAGGGUUGCGCUCGUUGCGGGACUUAACCCAACAUCUCACGACACGAGCUGACGACAGCCAUGCAGCACCUGUGUUUCGUCCGGCCGAACCGAAAACUCUAAUCUCUUAGAGUCGCGACGAACAUGUCAAGUGUUGGUAAGGUUCUGCGCGUAUCUUCGAAUUAAACCACAUGCUCCACUACUUGUGCGGGUCCCCGUCAAUUCAUUUGAGUUUUAACCUUGCGGUCGUACUCCCCAGGCGGUGUGUUUAUCGGUUUCCCUGCGACACUGAAAAUAAAUUUCCAACGUCUAACACACAUCGUUUACGGCAUGGACUACGAGGGUAUCUAAUCCUCUUCGCUACCCAUGCUUUCGUUCC
rnacentral:rRNA from 1 species